CCAUUGCAGAGCUAGUUUAUUACUAUAUCUCCACUGCAGAGCUAGUUUAUUACUAUAUCUCCACUGCUUAGCUAGUUUAUUACUAUCUGACUACUGCAGAGCUAGUUUAUUACUAUAUCCCCACUGCAGAGCUAGUUUAUUACCAUAUCUCCACUGCAGAGCAAGUUUAUUACUAUAUCACUACUGCAGAGCUAGUUUACUACUAUAUCACUACUGCAGAGCUAGUUUAUUACUAUAUCACUACUGCAGAGCUAGUUUAUUACUAUAUCACCACUGCAGAGCUAGUUUAUUACUAUAUCACUACUGCAGAGCUAGUUUAUUACUAUAUCUCCACUGCUUAGCUAGUUUAUUACUAUAUCUCCACUGCAGAGCUAGUUUAUUACUAUAUCUCCACUGCUUAGCUAGUUUAUUACUAUCUGACUACUGCAGAGCUAGUUUAUUACUAUAUCCCCACUGCAGAGCUAGUUUAUUACCAUAUCUCCACUGCAGAGCUAGUUUAUUACUAUAUCACUACUGCAGAGCUAGUUUAUUACUAUAUCACUACUGCAGAGCUAGUUUAUUACUAUAUCACUACUGCAGAGCUAGUUUAUUACUAUAUCACCACUGCAGAGCUAGUUUAUUACUAUAUCACUACUGCAGAGAUAGUUUAUUACUAUAUCCCCACUGCAGAGCUAGUUUAUUACCAUAUCCCCACUGCAGAGCUAGUUUAUUACUAUAUCCCCAUUGCAGAGCUAGUUUAUUACUAUAUCCCCAUUGCAGAGCUAGUUUAUUACUAUAUCUCCACUGCAGAGCUAGUUUAUUACUAUAUCUCCACUGCUUAGCUAGUUUAUUACUAUCUGACUACUGCAGAGCUAGUUUAUUACUAUAUCCCCACUGCAGAGCUAGUUUAUUACUAUAUCACUACUGCAGAGCUAGUUUAUUACUAUAUCUCCACUGCAGAGCUAGUUUAUUACUAUAUCACCACUGCAGAGCUAGUUAAUUACUAUAUCACCACUGCAGAGCUAGUUUAUUACUAUAUCUCCACUGCAGAGCUAGUUUAUUACUAUAUCUCCACUGCUUAGCUAGUUUAAUACUAAAUCACUACUGCA
rnacentral:lncRNA from 1 species